CCAGCACCCCGAGUGGUCGGGACGAUUAUUGGGCCUAAAGCAUCCGUAGCCGGUUUUACAAGUCCUCCGUUAAAUCCAACUGCUUAACAGAUGGGCCGCGGAGGAUACUAUAAGACUAGGAGGCAGGAGUGGCAAGCGGUACUCAGUGGGUAGGGGUAAAAUCCGUUGAUCCAUUGAAGACCACCAGUGGCGAAGGCGGCUUGCCAGAAUGCGCUCGACGGUGAGGGAUGAAAGCUGGGGGAGCAAACCGGAUUAGAUACCCGGGUAGUCCCAGCUGUAAACGAUGCAGACUCGGUGAUGGACUAGCUUUAUGCUAGUCCAGUGCCGCAGGGAAGCCGUUAAGUCUGCCGCCUGGGUAGUACGGUCGCAAGACUG
rnacentral:rRNA from 1 species